rnacentral:sRNA from 1 species
AUUCUCUUGGGGCUUACUUUGCUCCGUUGACUACUACAACUCCGUUGACUCCUGCCAAGCAGCUAACGGCAUUUGGUAGUGAUGACGGAACUGUAUGGGAUGAUGGUGCUUACGUUGGGGUUAAGAAGGUGUACGUUGGACAAGCCCAAGAUGGAAUCUCAGCUGUUAAGUUUGUGUACGACAAAAGCCCUGAGGAGGUCACAGGAGAAGAACAUGGAAAGAGUACUCUACUCGGAUUCGAAGAG